rnacentral:rRNA from 1 species
UACGAAGGGGGCUAGCGUUGCUCGGAAUUACUGGGCGUAAAGCGCACGUAGGCGGAUUGUUAAGUCGGGGGUGAAAUCCUGGAGCUCAACUCCAGAACUGCCUUCGAUACUGGCGAUCUCGAGUUCGGGAGAGGUGAGUGGAACUGCGAGUGUAGAGGUGAAAUUCGUAGAUAUUCGCAAGAACACCGGUGGCGAAGGCGGGUCUCUGGGCAGUAACUGACGCUGAGGAGCGAAAGCGUGGGGAGCAAACAGG